UCUCUCAGUGAGGAGGAAGUGUACCUGAAAAUUUCAUCAGAAAUCGAUAAACGAAGAACAAACAAAACUAGAACAAAUUUACCAUGACUUUCGAGCGAGAGACUGUGAGAAGUAGGAAUGGUGCGACUGUUCGUUUCUGGAGACAUAAUGCAACACAGGUUGCAUUAAACGCUGCCAUAAAUAAAAGGCCAAGAGCCUAAUUUAUUAAUAA